rnacentral:rRNA from 1 species
CACGUAGGGGGCAAGCGUUGUCCGGAAUCAUUGGGCGUAAAGAGCUCGUAGGCGGCCGGUUGCGUCUGCUGUGAAAUCCCGGGGCUUAACCCCGGGCGUGCAGUGGAUACGGGCUGGCUGGAGGCAGGCAGGGGGAGAAUGGAAUUCCCGGUGUAGCGGUGAAAUGCGCAGAUAUCAGGAAGAACACCCGUGGCGAAGGCGGCUCUCUGGGACGGUACUGACGCUGAGACGCGAAAGCGUGGGGAGCGAACAGG